rnacentral:rRNA from 1 species
UACGAAGGGGGCUAGCGUUGCUCGGAAUUACUGGGCGUAAAGCGCACGUAGGCGGCUUUCUAAGUCGGGGGUGAAAUCCUGGAGCUCAACUCCAGAACUGCCUUCGAUACUGGAGAGCUCGAGUCCGGGAGAGGUGAGUGGAACUGCGAGUGUAGAGGUGAAAUUCGUAGAUAUUCGCAAGAACACCAAUGGCGAAAGCAGCUCUCUGGGACGGUACUGACGCUGAGACGCGAAAGCGUGGGGAGCAAACAGG